UACGAAGGGGGCUAGCGUUGUUCGGAUUUACUGGGCGUAAAGCGCGUUUAGGCGGGUCGUUAAGUUGGGGGUGAAAUCCCGAGGCUCAACCUCGGAACUGCCUUCAAAACUGGCGACCUGGACUCAAGCAGAGGCAAGUGGAAUUGCGAGUGUAGAGGUGAAAUUCGUAGAUAUUCGCAGGAACACCAGUGGCGAAGGCGACUUGCUGGGCUUGUAUUGACUCUGAGACGCGAAAGCGUGGGGAGCAAACAGG
rnacentral:rRNA from 1 species